GCAAGUCUGGUGCCAGCAGCCGCGGUAAUUCCAGCUCCAAUAGCGUAUAUUAAAGUUGUCGCAGUUAAAAAGCUCGUAGUUGAACCUCGGGAUCAAUGGAUCGGUCAUGCCAUCGGUAUGUACUGGUCUCAUUGGUUCUCACCUUCUAAGGAACCAUGAUGUCAUUCAGUUGAUGUUGUGGGGAAUUAGGACUGUUACCUUGAAAAAAUUAGAGUGUUUAAAGCAGGCUAACGCUUGAAUACAUUAGCAUGGAAUAAUGAAAUAGGACAUCGCAUUCUAUUUUGUUGGUUUCUAGGAUCGAUGUAAUGAUUAAUAGGGAUAGUUGGGGGCAUUAGUAUUCAAUUGUCAGAGGUGAAAUUCUUGGAUUUAUUGAAGACUAACUACUGCGAAAGCAUUUGCCAGGGAUGUUUUCAUUAAUCAAGAACGAAAGUUAGGGGAUCGAAGACGAUCAGAUACCGUCGCAGCCUUAACCAUAAACUAUGCCGACUAGGGAUCGGAUGAUGUUGAUUUUUUAAUGACUCAUUCGGCGCCUUACGGGAAAC
rnacentral:rRNA from 1 species